UACGUAGGGAGCAAGCGUUGUCCGGAAUCAUUGGGCGUAAAGCGCGUGUAGGCGGCUUGGUAAGUCUGCUCUGAAAGCCCGGGGCUCAACCCCGGGAGGCGGGUGGAUACUGCCGAGCUCGAGUCCGGAAGAGGCGAGUGGAAUUCCUGGUGUAGCGGUGAAAUGCGUAGAUAUCUGGAGGAACACCGGUGGCGAAGGCGGCAUUCUGGACCGAUAUUGACGCUGAGGAGCGAAAGCCAGGGGAGCAAACGGG
rnacentral:rRNA from 1 species